AGGGUCACAGGAGACACCUGAGGGUCUUGGGGGCACCCAGGGAUCUUUGGGAACAUUUGGAGGGUCUUUGAGGGACACCUGAGGGACACCUGAAGGUCUUGGGGACACCCAGGGGUCUUCAGGGACAUUUGGGGGUCUUCAGGGAACACCUGAGGGUCCUGAGAGAUACCUGAAGGUCCUGGAGAACACCCGAGGGUCACAGGAGACACCUGAGGGUCACAGGAGACACCUGAGGGUCUUGGGGGCACCCAGGGAUCUUUGGGAACAUUUGGAGGGUCUUUGAGGGACACCUGAGGGACACCUGAAGGUCUUGGGGACACCCAGGGGUCUUCAGGGACAUUUGGGGGUCUUCAGGGAACACCUGAGGGUCCUGAGAGAUACCUGAAGGUCCUGGAGAACACCCGAGGGUCACAGGAGACACCUGAGGGUCUUGGGGGCACCCAGGGAUCUUUGGGAACAUUUGGAGGGUCUUUGAGGGACACCUGAGGGUCCUGGAGGACACCUGAGAGUCUUGGGGACACCCAGGAGUGUUUGGGGACACUGGGGGGUCUUUGAGGGACACCUGAGGGUCCUGGAGGACACCUGAAGGUCUUGGGGACACCCAGGGGUCUUCAGGGACAUUUGGGGGUCUUCAGGGAACACCUGAGGGUCCUGAGAGAUACCUGAAGGUCCUGGAGAACACCCGAGGGUCACAGGAGACACCUGAGGGUCUUGGGGGCACCCAGGGAUCUUUGGGAACAUUUGGAGGGUCUUUGAGGGACACCUGAGGGUCCUGGAGGACACCUGAGAGUCUUGGGGACACCCAGGAGUGUUUGGGGACACUGGGGGGUCUUUGAGGGACACCUGAGGGUCCUGGAGGACACCUGAAGGUCUUGGGGGCACCCAGGGGUCUUCAGGGACAUUUGGGGGUCUUCAGGGAACACCUGAGGGUCCUGAGAGACACCUGAAGGUCCUGGAGAACACCCGAGGGUCACAGGAGACACCUGAGGGUCACAGGAGACACCUGAGGGUCUUGGGGGCACCCAGGGAUCUUUGGGAACAUUUGGAGGGUCUUUGAGGGACACCUGAGGGUCCUGGAGGACACCUGAGAGUCUUGGGGACACCCAGGAGUGUUUGGGGACACUGGGGGGUCUUUGAGGGACACCUGAGGGUCCUGGAGGACACCUGAAGGUCUUGGGGGCACCCAGGGGUCUUCAGGGACAUUUGGGGGUCUUCAGGGAACACCUGAGGGUCCUGAGAGACACCUGAAGGUCCUGGAGAACACCCGAGGGUCACAGGAGACACCUGAGGGUCACAGGAGACACCUGAGGGUCUUGGGGGCACCCAGGGAUCUUUGGGAACAUUUGGAGGGUCUUUGAGGGACACCUGAGGGACACCUGAAGGUCUUGGGGACACCCAGGGGUCUUUGGGGACAUUUGGGGAGGUCUUCGAGGGACACCUGAGGGACACUCCGAGGGUUUUGGGGGGCACUCAGGGCUCACUUGGGGGGGGUGUCGGGGCACGGCCGGGCGCCACCC